rnacentral:rRNA from 1 species
GACGAGCAUCACGAACGUUAUUCGGAAUUACUGGGCUUAAAGGGUGCGUAGGCGGUGCAGCAAGUCGGGAGUGAAAUCCCACAGCUCAACUGUGGAAUUGCUUUCGAUACUGCUGUGCUUGAGUUCGGGAGAGGUGAGUGGAACUGCGAGUGUAGAGGUGAAAUUCGUAGAUAUUCGCAAGAACACCAGUGGCGAAGGCGGCUCACUGGCCCGAUACUGACGCUGAGGCACGAAAGCGUGGGGAGCAACAGG